CAGGUAGCAUAAUCAUUAGUCUUUUAAUUGAAGGCUGGCAUGAAAGGUUGGAUAAGAUAUAAGCUGUCUCGUGNAAAAUUAAAAAAAAUUUGACCUUUAAGUGAAAAGGCUUAAAUAAAAAUGAGGGACGAGAAGACCCUAUAGAGCUUUAUAUAGUUUAUAUAUNUUAGUUUGAUGAAUUUUUAAAAUUUAUAAUUUAUAUUUUGUUGGGGCGACAUUAGAAUAAUAUAACUUCUAUUAAUAGANACACUAAUGAGUGAAUAAANNGGAUCCACUNNAUGUGAUUACAAGAACAAGUUACCUUAGGGAUAACAGCAUAAUCUUUUCUGAGAGUUCAAAUCGAAGAAAGGGGUUGUGACCUCGAUGUUGAAUUAAGAA
rnacentral:rRNA from 1 species